rnacentral:lncRNA from 1 species
GACAAGAUAAUUUCCUUCAUUCAUUAAUUAACUAAAUUAAUUAAUUAAAAACAAUAUAAAUCGAGAGGCUUGGUUUUACCUCAACGAUGGAAUACAUGCUUAAUAUUUGUGAAGUUCUGGGUUCAAUUCCAGCAUCCAAGGGAAGAAGUAAGAUAUAAAUGGACAUAAGCUCUCCCUCCCCCCCCAACCCCUUUCCAUCAGGUUAUGGCCUGUGUUAGAGCCGGAUGAAGUUGCAAGGAGUCUGAUCGAUGGGAUACUUACCAACAAGAAAAUGAUCUUCGUUCCGUCCUAUAUCAAUAUCUCUCUAAUAGUGGAAAUGUUUUUUCCUGAACGUGUCUUAAAAGCUAUAAACCGUAUACAGAAUAUUCAGUUUGAAGCGAUUGUGGGCCACAGAACCAAGAGGAAGUAACAUCUUGCGUGCAGAGACGUGUGGACGCCAAUGACGCGAAGCCAAGUUUAGAGCGGACGCGAGGCUUUCUUUCGCCCGUUUUAGAAGUGUUCCUUGUGUUUAAAAUGUAGGUUUGGCCCUAGUAGCCAUCGAGCAAACGAGAGUGGUCAACUGUCCUUCUGGUUUCUUAUACUUAAACUCUCAGCCCCUGGUAUUGGGUUCUGGAAAUGGAGCUGUAGUAAGACAAUGCCUGUCGCACAGCCGAGUGAAAAGUCAUUUGGUGUGUUUUUACUAAACAGAAAUGUGGGAGAAAGGGUAAGACAAUAAAAUCUUGGACAAAUG